rnacentral:lncRNA from 1 species
UGUUGUGGCUAGAGGCUCACAAAAACCUAACUCUAUAUUUCCCCUAGGAACAAUGGUUCAGGAUUCACUAAUUCAGUAUUAGCAGCAACUUUACGGAACAAAACUACUGUGGAUAAUGAGAAUUCACUGCGCCCGUUGUUUAAACAGUUAACAGCAGUCACUUUAGUGCCUUUUGUAGAGACAGAGCAGUAAGUACCAUUUUUAUUUCCUUUAUGGUUUUAGUCUAUUUAAGUAACCCACUGGGCCAAUUUUAGCGACUCGUGUUUUCCUGCAAAGUGUCCAUUUCAUCAGCAUAUUCACUAUGUGAAGAUUGUGCCUGCUUCCUCUUUGCCUUCCACCAUGAUUGGAAGUUUCCUGAGACCUUCCCAGCAGCAGAAGCCUAUACAGUCUGCAGAACUAGUAAGUCUAUUAAAAAAAAACCAAAAAACUAACUACUCUGUGUAUUCACAGCACCAGGAGCUGGUUUAUUUAAAAAAAAAAAAUGCUCACGUUUAGUGUUUUAUUUAGUUCUCACUGCAAUCUUGUCAGCUGUUGUUAUGAAGUUGACUUUAUAGAUGAGGAAACUUGAUCAAAAAGACUAAAUUAUCCAGCUGUUAGAUGGCAGAUUCAGAACUCAAAAAUGGCUUUAUAAACUUGACUUUAUUGCUUCCCCCAUUUCAACACAUUUCCUAAUUCUUUUCAUGACAGAGUUCCCCAGCUAUCCCCCAGUGGCUUGGAGAUUCCCAUUUCAAGAGUGUAGAGUUCUACCCAGAAGGUGGCUGCGUGGACAGUGACUACAUUCUCAGCUCCAUGCCUAUUUGGGUGAGGCCCUGUGAUGAAUGGUCAUCAGUGGAAUAUGAGCAGAAGUGUUAUGUGUCAGAAGAAGACAUGCCUUCUCCAUCCUUUCUUUUCCCCUACCCUCUGGUUUGUGUUGGUUUCCAGGGUGUCCUUGGGAGGGGUUUGGGCCAUAAUUUCAAAAGACACAGUGCUAAAUACCACAAUCCCAAAUGUUGAAAUCUGGAAAGAUCAAAAUCUCUAAAGGAAGGCACACAUUUAAGAUGGCAAAGCCACUGUGCCUUUGUCCCUAAAUAAGAGUGGGGCAACUGUGCCUUUCACCACUCUGCUGUUAACCAGUUAUACACACAAUGAACUGUUACGUUAGCAAAAAAAAUGUUUCUUGUAAAGGCCACUGAAAUUGUGGAGUUUGUCUGUUACAGUAACUAGCAGUACUCUAACUAAAAUGAGCGUCUUUCAUAAUAGAGAUGAGAAUUCAGAUUUCUACUAUUCUCUGACAAAUCUCCAUAACACUUAUUUACCAAACCACUGAUUUUAAUUGUGCUGAACGGAAAUGAUCAUGGAGAGUCACUUUUCCAAUGACCUCUCUGUCCCUUGGUUUUCCAUUGUUUAAGGUGAAUGAUAAUUUCUAUCUUUUAUUUCUAUUUGUGGACCAAAAAAAUUAAAAAGACUUCCCUCUUUUAAACCUUUCCAAGCAAUUCCCAUCUUCAAAGGUAAUUUUGAGGAACAUGUACUUCUCUGACUGGGAAGCGGGUGGUGAUCUGGAAUUAAUCAGUGAGGAUUUAUUGAGUUUCCUAAAGUGUAUGACUUACGCAUGGGUUUCCCUGCUCGUUGGCAACUCUCAAAGCCUUAACCCUGAGGAUGCUCCCCCAAGAAAACAUAGCACCUGUUUUCUGGGCACUGGUUCCAAAACAUGGCCUGAAACACUAUGCCAAGAGCUCAAAUCUCUUGUAUUUCCCACCACACAGAUGGUCUGAGGCCUUCACUCCUCACCCUUCCUGGAUGUGGUUGCGCCAGAGGUGAGUAGGAGAAAGAAUGCUUUUGAGAAAGGUACCUUGAGAAUUUAUCUUGACAACUCCUCCUCAUCCUAGGCUUUGCACUUUCUCUGUCCCUGAAACUUCAAGGUGUUGUUCCUCUUAAUAUUUCAAGUCUAAACCCUGAAUCCAAGACCCGAAAGGAAAGGAAGUUUUGCCCACAAAGCAGCUCCCACAGCAAAUGAUGAAUGCUCCAAGUGCUUUCUGGGGGGAAAAAAAACGCUGAAACAGAGUUUAGUCACUAGAGUAAAUCCCCACAGAAAAAGAAAUAAAUCUCUGUGACAUCUGCUAAUGUCUGCCAUUUCCUUAAACACCUCUACCUGUCCAGUUUCCGUACCUCUUUUCCCCUUUCCCCAAUGCUGCUUUUGUUCUGUUUUUGGCCUUCAGGGGAUGAUUUAGUGAGCAGAUGGUACCAGGAAAACCAAGGGUAUUGCAUCCAGCUGUGUGUACACAGAUUGGUGAAUUCAAGCCUCUGAUCUAGGAUCUGAAAUAAAAAUCAGAAUAAGCGAAAAGAUGGUUGCUUUUUUUCAUGCCUUAUUUGUUCAUUUGCUCA